AUUGAACGCUGGCGGCAGGUCUAACACAUGCAAGUCGAGCGAGCGGCGGACGGGUGAGUAAUGUCUGGGAAACUGCCUGUUGGAGGGGGAUAACUACUGGAAACGGUAGCUAAUACCGCAUACCAUCAGAUGUGCCCCGAUGGGCGUAGCUGGUAGGUGGGGUAAUGGCUCACCUAGGCGACGAUCCCUAGCUGGUCUGAGAGGAUGAUCAGCCACACUGGAACUGAGACACGGUCCAGACUCCUACGGGAGGCAGCAGUGGGGAAUAGUGCACAAUGGGCGCAAGCCUGAUGCAGCCAUGCCGCGUGUAUGAAGAAGGCCUUCGGGUGGUAAAGUACUUUCAGCGAGGAGGCGUUACUCGCAGAAGAAGCACCGGCUAACUCCGUGCCAGCAGCCGCGGUAAUAC
rnacentral:rRNA from 1 species